AUUGAACGCUGGCGGCAGGCCUAACACAUGCAAGUCGAGCGGAUGACGGGAGCUUGCUCCUUGAUUCAGCGGCGGACGGGUGAGUAAUGCCUAGGAAUCUGCCUGGUAGUGGGGGACAACGUUUCGAAAGGAACGCUAAUACCCCAUACGUCCUACGGGAGAAAGUGGGGGACCUUCGGACCUCACGCUAUCAGAUGAGCCUAGGUCGGAUUAGCUAGUUGGUGAGGUAAAGGCUCACCAAGGGGACGAUCCGUAACUGGUCUGAGAGGAUGAUCAGUCACACUGGAACUGAGACACGGUCCAGACUCCUACGGGAGGCAGCAGUGGGGAAUAUUGGACAAUGGGCGAAAGCCUGAUCCAGCCAUGCCGCGUGUGUGAAGAAGGUCUUCGGAUUGUAAAGCACUUUAAGUUGGGAGGAAGGGCAGUAAGUUAAUACCUUGCUGUUUUGACGUUACCAACAGAAUAAGCACCGGCUAACUUCGUGCCAGCCGCCGCCGUAAAAC
rnacentral:rRNA from 1 species